UACGUAGGGUGCAAGCGUUGUCCGGAAUUAUUGGGCGUAAAGAGCUCGUAGGCGGUUUGUCGCGUCGAAUGUGAAAACCCGGGGCUCAACCCCGGGCCUGCAUUCGAUACGGGCAGACUAGAGUUCGGUAGGGGAGUCUGGAAUUCCUGGUGUAGCGGUGAAAUGCGCAGAUAUCAGGAGGAACACCGGUGGCGAAGGCGGGUCUCUGGGCCGAUACUGACGCUGAGGAGCGAAAGCGUGGGGAGCAAACAGG
rnacentral:rRNA from 1 species